CGCGCACGCACACAGACACGCAUGCACGGGCGCCCACACACACACACACUCACUCACACACACACACACACACACACACACACACACACACACACACACACACACACACACACACACACACACACACACACACACACACACACACACACACACACACACACACACACACACACGGACUAUCAGUCUACUGUCGGUCUGUCGGUCAAUCAGACAGGCAGAAAGACAGACAGAUGGAUAGAUCAAUAAAUGGAUGAAUGAUGGAUGGAUGAAUUGAUGAAUGGAUGACAGAUGGAUAGAUGAUGAAUGUGUGGAUGGAGGAUUUUUUCAAUAGCUGGAUGGGUUAAUUGAUGAGUGGGUUAAUUGAUUGACUGGUGUAUCGAUUGAGAGAGGUUGGAUGAUGAAUGAAUAGACGACCAUAUGGAAACUUAAUAUGACACCAGUACAGUGCGUUUUAAAAUUCAUGUUGCAUAUUGUAAAAUGAUUGCAUAGAACAGUGGUGCGUGGUCGAAGAUGUUAAAGUUGACAGCGCCGCAUUUUGUAAGACAAGAUCAUCACAAGAUUAAAUUAAUCUUCAUUGAUUGUGUUAAAACAUUAAAACAUAACUGUUUUUUCAUAAAAUACAUGAUUUUGAACGGUUAUGAAUGCAGUUUAAAGGGUGAAAGCUCGUUUGACUCGGUUUUUACGCAUGUGACACAGCGCAACAGCUCCCCCUAGUGGUUACUUCCUCAUUGUCCUGACGUUCCCCUACUAGUAGUGGAGGUCUUCAUCGAUACGAAUCAGGCGGUGUGGGUACCGGAUUGACUCGGCUGCCAGAUCGACUCGGGGUCCUGCGCUUACAGAUGACGUGUCGACACUUGACGUAUCGACACAAGUCAACGGACAAAACCCGGAAGGGUUGUUUAUAAACGGGGCUCAAGAUUUGAAAAGAAGGCUCAGUCCGUUUGGGUUUUGAUUUCAUUGAACGCAGCCCGUUCUUUCGCACAAACAUAGCCAUUGGAAACACGUCUAAAAGCACUGAUGAAUGCAUGUAACCCAGUUCCUGUUAGGUACUCUCAUUCUGAAGGAGGAGAACGGAAGUGUCUGCAUGUGGGUCGCUGUUUUGACUCUGUUGGGAGCGCUGGAAAUAGAGUGGAUCGCCCCGUUCAGUGAAUGGAGUUAACCGAUUCUUCUUUUAUAUAUAACCCAAGUAUAGGCAAGAAUAAUUUGUACAUUAGAUUAUUAUUCAUAGAUUAGAAAACAAAAGGAGAUCGUUAAUACUUGGGAAUAACAUGGGAAUGAAUGAAACGCGCAUGCGAAUUUAAAAGACAGCGUUUACAGGUAGUGCGUCAUUAUUGCGCAUCUAGGACCCGAGUCGAUCUGGCAGCCGAGUCAAUCCGACACCCACACCGGUUCUACGGGGGUGCAUAAGCAUGCAUUGCACCCCCAAAAAAAAUGUUUGCACCCUCAAUUGAAAAAAGGAUGGAGUGAACAUUUUUUAAUAAAUAUGAUAAAAAUAAUAAAAUACUUGCCCACAAAACAAAUUGUAAUUAGCUCGUGACAAUUUCCAUUAAAUACCAUUGUUUGAUGCAUUUAUUUUGUUCACUAAACCGAUGAGAACUUUAUUAUUAUUAUGACAGGUGCGCGUUAACUGCGCCCCGGCCAGCGGCCGGUGUCGUGUGCAAAAUGCGCGCACCCAUGUAUAUAGUAUAUCUAUGGCGCGCACGGCAGCGUCGUCGAACUUCUUCGGCAGCAACAGUUAAGCAUUUAGCAAUGGAUAUCCGAAAAUCGCUCAAAAAGAACACCGCAGAACUUAUCAACUCCAUCAAACAUUAACCAGAGCAGGGAGUAGGAUGGAUCCUGUGCCCCCUGGUGGAUCCAGUGUGCCACUGUCUUUCAACCUCCUACAGUCUCCGCUCCCCAGCUUGUUGUUCGUUCAUGAAUACUGGAGGGGCAGUUAUUUUGAAAAUGGCUGCUGACAGCCUGUUGUCUGAACAAGUUACUAUUUGAAUGACAUUGUAAAAUCAUUUGUUCUCACAAAGCUUAUUUUAUUAAUGUAUUACAUGUAUUAUGUUCAUAAGAACCCAUAUUUGUCAGUUGUGUUUUGAUUAUAUUUUUUUACAAUCUUUUGAACUUUAAGAAAGGCACUAUGUAUUACUAAUUAUUUUUUGUGAAAUGAACAUUACUAAUUGGGUUUUAUCUGUCAGCAUUAAGAGUUUUGGGCAGCAGAAUAAGCACUUUAAGUUGUUCAUAUACAGGUGCAUCUCAUAAUAUUAGAAUAUCAGGGAAAUGCUCUUUUUUGGUAAUUUAUUUUUACAUCAAUUAUCUUAUUUUUAAUUCAAAAGGUGAAAGUUCCAUAUAAUCUAGAUGUAUUAGACAUUAAGUGAUAUAUUUCAAGCAUUAUCUUGUGAAUGUAAAAUUAUUUUGUGACAUUUAAUGGUUCACUUGUAUAAAUGCAGAGCAUGUUUUAUUUUUAAGUUGACAAUGACAAUGUUACAUUAUUUAGUCUCACAAGGCUAGUGGUGCUUGAAAGUAUUUUAACCUCUUGAGCCUUUUCGAAUUUGAUUUAAUUUAACCAUUAUUCAUUCAUUUUUAUCAAUACCAGUAUUUUUUUAUAUGCAAUAACAGAUGUGUGUGCGUUUAUAAAUUCCACAUUUUUAUUUUCCGAAAAUCAAUUGUUAAAACAAAUUAUUUGCCAACUUUUGUUUGUGCAAAAGUAGGUGAACCCUGAGCUGCAUUGCUUAAAUCGAGCAGGUAAACACAAUCAGGUGGGAUAAAUGUAGUGAUGAAAUGGACCAAUGUAAUGAGAGAUCUUUAGGGAAGAAAUUGGGCGGCACUAGAUAAAACAGAUCAAACUGGGUAGGUUUAGGCUCACCAAAGUGAACCCGUUCAGGUUAAUCACUAAAUGUGUCCCACCUGAUUGUGUUUACAUGCUCGAUUUAAGCAAUGCAGCUCAGGGUUUACUAACUUUUGCACACAAGUAAGCAAAUAAUUGUUUUAUUUGAAUCUUUAACCAUACAAUUGAUUUCUGGAGAUUUUAUUUUAAUUGAUAAACACACACCUCUUAUUUAAUGUAAAGCAUAAUAUUGAUAUAAAUGAAUUAAUAAUGGUUAAAUACAAUUACAAUUAGGCUCAAGAGGUUGACAUACUUUCUAGCAGCACUGUGUGUCAACAACAGCUUAUUUUAGUUAUGUAUUAUGUUCAUAAGCACCCAUAUUUGCCAGUUGUGUUUUGAUUGUAUUUAUUUACAAUCGUGUUAAGUUUAAGAGGCACUAUUACUCAUUACUUUUUGUGAAGGUAACAUUAGUAAUUGGGUUGUAUUGUUAAAUGCAAGACAGAGAAAGGCAGUGCAAAAAGCCAUGACCUUUAGUGUGUUCUUUCCUUGUUCAGCUAAAAUCGGUUUUAUUUUUAAGUGACAAUGUGAACGAAAAUGUACAAUUAUUUGCCAUGUCAAAUAUCCUACCACAAUUUAGUAAAAAAAAUGUUAUUUUUG